UGGCUUUGCCAAAGAAAAAACUUCCCAAAAAUGAAGAACCAAAUCUGUUAUAUUAGUACACAACUUCCUUUCAUCCACUCGGCCAUGCAAGCUGCAAAUAAGUUGGAAUAGAGUCGAAACAGUUAAUGUCCUAACAACAUCAAAUCUAUC